rnacentral:misc_RNA from 1 species
CAUUAAAAAAAAAAAAAAAAGAAAAUUACAAUACGACACACUGUCACACCGUAUCAGUCCCCUACUCUCACACGGCCAAAAGUAAAAAAGUUUAAAAAAUCUUCUAAAGUCUCCAUCUAAUCAAAAUCUAAAGAUGAAAUCGAGAGCCGUUGAUAAUAAAACAUACGACCCGAAAACCCGAGAGCAAGGACGAUAACCCUAAGAACGCAAACCCAGCAAAUCCCAAGGCAAUCGCAAUAUACGAUUGCACGCAGAAUGCAUUGCUAACCGUACACGUGUCACCGCCCUUCAGCGUCCUCGCCAGCGCCGUCCCCGCCGAGUUAGCCGACAACAGCAGGUAUGCGAACACCUGAUCAUGGCCGAAGUCGAACCAGACUUGGAGAACUUCGGGGAAGAGAGUGGCGCCUCUGGAAAUUUCCCAGACGGAGGCGGCCAUUUCGAAAAGAGAGUAGAGAGUGACGAUUGCAUUUGCAGCGAAAACGUAUCUGAAAGCGUCGAAAUCAUACCAAUGAGGGGAAUCGGAUCCUCUGGAGUUAGUGAGCGUGAAAACAGCAGAGGUGAGAGAGAAGCAAAAAGUAGCGAGUCGGAACACCAGAAUCAGUGAGUUGAAUCGUUUGAGCUUCUGUACGGAUAGAGUGGAAUGGAAGUGUGGAGGCGGGAUCCGCGGGUGGGGCGACGGGGUCUCGCCGUUACGGAGGGGCUGCGGAGACAGCAUGAUCCUUGAUGAUGGUGGUGAUGGUAACUUUGAGCAGAAAAUAGAAGGAAAACAGAGAAAAAGGAUUACUCAUGAGAUGAAAAGAGAAGAAAGGGUAGAGAGCGAAGAAGGUAGAGUUGGAGUCACGGGACAUAGCAAGAGUUUCAUAUGGGAUUUGUGAGAAAGCGGAAGGAAAGAAAGAGAAAAGGUGAAGGAAGGAAACGUGAAGGACGGUGGGAAAAGAAAGAAAGAAAGAAAG